rnacentral:rRNA from 1 species
AUUGAACGCUGGCGGCAGGCCUAACACAUGCAAGUCGAGCGGAGCGGCGGACGGGAGAGAAAUGCCUAGGAAUCUGCCCGGUAGUGGGGGAAAACGUCGGGAAAGGGGCGCUAAUACCGCAUACGAUCAGAGGGGCCUAGGUGGGAUUGGCUGGUUGGUGGGGUAAAGGCCUACCAAGGCGACGAUCCGUAACGGGUCUGAGAGGAUGAUCGGUCGCACUGGAACGGAGACAGUGACCAGACUCCUGCGGGAGGCAGCAGUGGGGAAUGUUGGGCAAUGGUCGAAAGCCUGAUCCAGCCAUGCCGCGUGUGUGAAGAAGGUCUUCGGAUUGUAAAGCACGUUAUGUUGGGAUGCGUUACCGACAGAAUAAGCACCGGCUAACUUCGUGCCAGCAGCCGCGGUAAUUC